rnacentral:rRNA from 1 species
UACGGAGGGGGCUAGCGUUGUUCGGAAUUACUGGGCGUAAAGCGCGCGUAGGCGGCUUUGUAAGUUAGAGGUGAAAGCCCGGAGCUCAACUCCGGAACUGCCUUUAAGACUGCAUCGCUAGAACGUCGGAGAGGUAAGUGGAAUUCCGAGUGUAGAGGUGAAAUUCGUAGAUAUUCGGAAGAACACCAGUGGCGAAGGCGGCUCACUGGCCCGGUACUGACGCUGAGGUGCGAAAGCGUGGGGAGCAAACAGG